UGCAUAGAAACAUCCCUGGAAGAAAACAGUAAAAAAGGGAAACCCUGCAUAUCUGCUUGUGUGGGUGUGCGUGUUUCUUCUAGCAUGUCUGCUAAAAAUGUUUGUGUUCAUUGCAGGCUGAGUGGAUGUGUGAAGGGGAGAGUGCUGCUUUUCCUAUAGGCCACAGUUUGAUGAGGGAUGAGUCAUCCAGAUGGAGACCCCGAGGAACGGAGGCAGCUGAUGAAUGGAGUGGAACGUUCCCCCACAGGAUAACUAAAUGCAGUUGCUGUACUCUACGUCCUUCAGCAAGCUGGCUGUUUGCAGGUUGGUGCGUGUGUGUGACCAGCAGUUGAUUCCUCACAGCUGGAACUCGUCAAGCCAAAUCAGGAGGACCAUAUAAAGGAGCGGAUUCCCUACGGUAAAUGCCAAAUUGUUUUGCUCCAUGAAUGGCAAUCAGGCGUAUUACUUCUUAGUUCCUGUGUUUUUUUAUGUUCCAUGCUUACGUCUUGUCUGUUGUCUCCUCUUCAAAAAAACAAUUUCCCAGUUCAUGCUUUGUUCCUGGAUUCUGGUGUUCUGCCUCUUUGUUCAGUUCAUUGAAGAACUGAAGUCAAAACGGUGAAUAUCCUCACCCCCUCCCCUGGUUCAUGCUAUCAGGACCCCUCUACAACCAUCACAUUACUCAACUACUUGUCCACUCUCAGCACUCCAUCGCCUCUCCCGUCUCCACCUAAA